UCGCGGGGUGGAGCAGUCUGGUAGCUCGUCGGGCUCAUAACCCGAAGGUCAGAGGUUCAAAUCCUCUCCCCGCAAUUUU
rnacentral:tRNA from 1 species